rnacentral:rRNA from 1 species
UACAGAGGGGGCAAGCGUUAUUCGGAUUUAUUGGGCGUAAAGGGCGCGUAGGCGGCCUGGCAAGUGGAAGGUGAAAUCCCUCGGCUUAACCGAGGAACUGCCCUCCAAACUGCUUGGCUUGAGUCCGGGAGAGGUGAGUGGAAUUCCCAGUGUAGCGGUGAAAUGCGUAGAUAUUGGGAGGAACACCAGUGGCGAAGGCGGCUCACUGGACCGGAACUGACGCUGAGGCGCGAAAGCGUGGGGAGCAAACGGG